rnacentral:rRNA from 1 species
AGCGAACGCUGGCGGCAGGCCUAACACAUGCAAGUCGAACGGACCCUUCGGGGUUAGUGGCGGACGGGUGAGUAACACGUGGGAACGUGCCUCUAGGUUCGGAAUAACUCAGGGAAACUUGUGCUAAUACCGAAUGUGCCCUUCGGGGGAAAGAUUUAUCGCCUUUAGAGCGGCCCGCGUCUGAUUAGCUAGUUGGCGAGGUAAAGGCUCACCAAGGCUACGAUCAGUAGCUGGUCUGAGAGGAUGACCAGCCACAUUGGGACUGAGACACGGCCCAAACUCCUACGGGAGGCAGCAGUGGGGAAUCUUGCGCAAUGGGCGAAAGCCUGACGCAGCCAUGCCGCGUGGAUGAUGAAGGUCUUAGGAUUGUAAAAUCCUUUCACCGGUGAAGAUAAUGACUGUAGCCGGAGAAGAAGCCCCGGCUAACUUCGUGCCAGCCGCCGCCGUAACAC